rnacentral:rRNA from 1 species
GAAAUCAAGUGUGACGACCCCCUGAA